rnacentral:rRNA from 1 species
AUACGAAUGGGGCAAGCGUUGUUCGGAAUCACUGGGCGUAAAGCGUACGCAGGCGGUCAAGAAAGUCAGAAGUGAAAUCCCAGGGCUCAACCCUGGAACUGCUUUUGAAACUUCUUGACUAGAGUCCCGGAGAGGUUAAGAGAAUUCCUAGUGUAGAGGUGAAAUUCGCAGAUAUUAGGAGGAAUACCAGUGGCGAAGGCGCUUAACUGGACGGGUACUGACGCUCAGGUACGAAGCGUGGGGAGCAAACAGGAUUAGAAACCCUAGUAGUCA